rnacentral:rRNA from 1 species
AUUGAACGCUGGCGGCAGGCCUAACACAUGCAAGUCGAGCGAGCGGCGGACGGGUGAGUAAUGUAUGGGGACUGCCCGAUAUAGGGGGAUAACUCCUGGAAACGGUAGCUAAUACCGCAUACUAUCGGAUAACCCAUAUGGGAUUAGCUCGUAGUUGUGGUAAUGGCUCACCUAGGCGACGAUCCCUAGCUGGUCUGAGAGGAUGAUCAGCCAGACGGGGACUGAGACACGGCCCAGACGCCUACGGAGGCAGCGGUGGGGAAUAUUGCACAAUGGGCGCAAGCCGGAUGAAGCCAUGCCGCGUGUAUGAAGAAGGCGCUAGGGUUGUAAAGUACGUUCAGUCGGGAGGCGUUACCGGGAGAAGAAGCACCGGCUAACUCCGUGCCAGCAGCCGCGGUAAUUC